ensembl:lncRNA
GGUUCCUGGCCCACGGUCCUGGCGGCAGCAGUUGGAAGAGCCGAGGCGAGGGCGCCGAUCCCGUACUGCGAGGGGAGGCGGAGAGAUGGGGCAAUUGACUAUUGCUAACAAGUUAGCCUUGAUCGAGGAGUCAUCAAUUAUCUGCAGCGGCACUUCUGUCUCUCUUUCUCCGUCUUUUUCCUCUCUUCUCUCUGUUCUCUCCUCCCGUUCUCUCCCUCCCUCUCUCCCUCCCUCUUCUCUCUUCUCUGCUCCCCCCGUCUCUCUCCUUCGCUCCCUCUCCCUCGUCCUCUCUUUCACUCUCUGUCUGUCCAAUGCAGGCGGCUCUAAGUUGGGAAGCUCAUUAAUUAGCGGGCCUGGGGUAGGAGGAGCCGGCUGGAAUUAGCCUGCCUAAUGCGCCUGUCAGUCCGGGCGCUGCGCCGCGCUCGGCCCGAGCUGUUUGUAAAUUACAUUAGCCGCGCCUUUAUUGCACCCGAACCUCCGGCGACUGGAAAGCCGCCGCCCCCACCCCAAACUGCGAGCCGCCCUCCCGGAGCACCCGCCUCCCGCCGGCCUGGCUGUGAUGGCAGCGCUGGCCCGGAGGUCUCGGGCUCUCCAACCCGGGAUUUUGCGCCCGAGAAGGGCGGCAAGAGCACAGCCAGGGAGGUAUGCAGCCGCCGCGCGGGCCAGACUCCCAUCCUAUUCUGAGCCCAGAAGCCGAGAGGAAGAACAGACAGAAGGAGGAGAGAGAUGGGCCAGUAGGAGUGGCAGGAAAUACACCUCUUCCCCAGUAGCCCAGGGGACUAUGAAGAGGGUAAAGUAUAGGGGCCGGGGGUGGUGGGAUGGGGGGAGUAGUGUCUGGUUUUGUCCCAUGGGGAGUAGCAUUUGAAAUGAGCCAUAAGAAUCCAGAAGCACUGGGGUAGGUCCAGAAGUGAGGACGACUUUCCUGGUAAGCAGAGAAGCUGAGCAGGAGGCCAGAAGUCCCAACCCAGAAGGGGAGAAAGAGUGCCCCUCACUCCCUGGCCUGGGCAUCAAGCUGCUGAGGUUGGUUAGUCCCCUGUGCACCUCAGCAGGUCUGCAGCCUGGGACAUGGGCUGGUAAGCUCUUGGGAUGGUUGUUUGGGACUGCAGGGGGGAGUUGGGAACAGGCUGCACCCCAGUCCUUGCUGGUCCUGGGUCCACAAUAGGGGUUCCAUUCACUAUGCCGCUAUGCCAUCUACGGAAGCACCAAGAACUGAUUUCCUACUAAACCUAACUCCUGGGUCCCUGAGCUCCCCAAACCGCUAAUGGUGGUCAGGCUACCACAGAAGUCUCUGCCUGUGGGAGGGCGCCAGGCAGAGGAGCCUGGGCCAGGCCAGGUGGAUGGGGGAGGAACCUAAGCGGUGCGGGGGGAGGAGACCUAGGAGCCGGCCAGCGAGCGUGGUUAGCCGGGCUCCAGAAAGGCCUGAGUCAGGCUUCUUAUAAUAAACUGCACGUGAAUAAUUCAGCAGCCGCGCGGGAGCUCAUUGCAUUAGCGCCUCACCUUUCGGCUGAGGGGAAGGGGGGGUCACUAACGCGCUUGAUGAGGGAGCCAGAUGGAAGACUCAUGCCCACUAGCAUCCUGGGUUCUGCCCGGCCCAAUCCCAGGAGACUCAUUGGUCCCCCCAAUCCCUCCGGCCCCAUCCGGUCAGAGGGCGCCUACUGGGCAGGGCUGUCCCAGCGAAGCCGCUCUGAAGACCCCAGGCAAGAGUAAACAGGCAGCGGGACCAGGGCCGGAAUAGGGGAGGAGGGGGCCCGACCUGUGGGCAAGGGAGCUGCGGCAGUGCCCAGUCGCGCAGAGAACGUGGGCGAUGUGGCUCUGAGCAAAGAGAAGGCGGGCUCCUGUGCUCAGAGCCCGAGUGCCCAGGGGCUGCUUCGUCUGGGCCGGGAUUUUCCUUGUGCUCAGAAUGGAGCUCCAGGGAAGCUGCGGGACUUUUUACCCGCGGUGGAUCCCCAGGUUGCGCUUCUUCCCCGACCCCACGCCCACUGACCCACCGAGCCACCGACCCAUCCACCCCCUAGAUCCAGUUCUCGAGGCGGCAGCCCACCCUCGCGCCCCCACCUCGUGUCAGCCGGCGCUGAAGGGAGCACCGGAGGCCAUUAGGCCCGUUGUUCUCCGACUCUUUGAGACCCCAUUGACUGCAGCACGCCAGGCUUCCCUGUCCUUCACCAUCUCCUGGAGCUUGCUCAAAUUCAUGUUCAUUGAGUCGGUGUUGUCAUCCAACCAUCUCGUUCUCUGUCUUCCCCUUCUCCUCCUGCCUUCAGUCUUUCCCAGCAUCGGGGUCUUGUCUAAAUGCACACCAUCUUCAACCUUAUUUCGUUUGAGCAGAGCCAGCUUCCUCUGGCUUUUCCACUUUCCACCAGCCCCUGGGUUUCUGAUCUUGAGGGUUCGCAUUCAUCCCGUCCAACAUCCACUGUCGCUUGAUUCCUCCGGCUCUUCUCCAGAGCCGUUCACUUUCAGGCAGUCGGCCCCGCCCUCUCUCCAUCAGCCUCCCCACUCCUACGAAGUGAACCUCGGGCCGCCGGAGACCCUCGCGCUGACACCGCUGGCCCUUCAGUGCCGGCGCGACCGAGGCCCUAGUCUGGUCUCUGGAGGUCUUGGGCAGCCCGACGAGAAGUCCGGCCGAAGACACCUCGCGUCCCUCCUUCCCUGCUUAUCCCUCCUUCCACCCCAGCAGAAUCCUUGUCUUCUGCCGCCGCCGCCUCCUCUUCCUCCGCCUCUACGCAUUUGUUUUUCUUGAUUCGGUGCCUUGGGCUUCCGGAGGCCAGGCCGCUGGGGACGAGGCAGCCUGGGGUGUCUUUGCAGAGGCAAGUGAGAUGGACUGAUGGCACCUGGACCCCAGACAGCUCCACCACUGCCCGGCAGUGUGUUCUUGG